GACUAUAAAUAUGUUGUUUUUCUAGUUGAAUGAACGAGCUAAAUGAGAUAUCAUCCAUAAGCUCCCUUGCUACACAAUUGUGAGCAAGUAAAAAUUUUUCUUGCAUCUAGUUUCAUUGUUCUGUUCUCUCUGUUCUCUUCUUUUGCUGCUGCCCUUGUUCCAACAGGGGUCCUUAUAGGUGUUAAAUCCAAAGCACUCUUUGUGGUGGUAAGCGUAAGAUGGCCAUGUCAAAAAAUAGAACCCCCUUGCCGUUGAGUGAAGAAGUGGUGCCAAUCUAACGCUUUUCCUUCAAGGUGAAGCAUCAUUGUUCACAUUUUCGCGUGGUCUGGACUGCCUUCUACUUCAAAAUAUUCCUCAAUUUUAGCCCACCAUCCCUGAAAAUAUGAGCCGUCAAAUCAAGGGCACUCAAGUUUGGGAACUUUUUACAAUGUCUCCCAACUGCAGGUCGUAACAUACUGCUCAGCUCAACCAAAGGAGAAAGGGGUAGAUGCUCAUUGGGUGGGAAACCAGAUGGACGCCCUCCUACCAUUCCCUUCCCCUUGUCAACUGCAGAAGCGGUGGGCGUGGCUUGUGUUGAGUGAACUAAAUACUGCUCAAACAGUCCCUUCAUCUCCAAUCUAAAAUCAUCCCUAAAGUCCUUCAUCCUAGCAUCGAGCUUGCUGUUUCACUGAGUAACCUCCAGCUGGAGCUUAACCAACUCCUAUUGAAUUUGAGUUGCAUCUUUCUGAGAUCUUGUGGUGACACCCUCGCCGGCCAUGGAGGACGUCUGAGCUCUGAUAUCUUUGAUACGAGCUAAACAACAACACACAGAAAAGAGAAUACGAGAGAAAUUUAGAGAGGAAGAAAAACCUGAUUCAUUUACUGCUUACUUCUCUCCUCAACAAAAAAAACAGAAACAAGGAAAAGAAAAUGACACCGUUGUACAUUGUUUUUCUAAAAAAUCAAAACACGCCGUUUUAUUUAAGUUGAAACACAAUAAAGAGCAGCAUUUUGACAA
rnacentral:lncRNA from 1 species